ensembl:lncRNA
UUCCACAAGGACCUACCAGAGGUUUAUUUUGGCAGAAGAUGACACACUGUCCUUUUCCACUUAGUGUCUCUGAGAAACAUUCCACCUAGGCAAGACAACCAAGCCUGGCUGAUGUGUUGCCAGUGGGAUAAUACGUACAAGGAUUUGGAAUCCUGUGUACUAUCUGCAUCGCCAGUAGUAAUUCUGAGAAUAAUUGAACUGCUAGUGCUGGUAAUAAUGGUUAUGGGAGUAGUAAGGGAAUUGCUUACUUAUUGCUCACCAAGCUAUCUGUUUCCAGUUUUGGCAAUAAGACAUAGCAACAGAGGGAAAGAAGAGAGAAGCCACAGGCACUGAGCACCUAUUGCCUACCAGGCUCAGUAUGAGAGUUUUUACUUAAGUUAGUUUAUUUCAUUCUGAUAACCUCACUGAGGAAGAGGUAUUGUCAUCACCACUUUAGAGACACUCAAUCUAUGACUCUGAGUUCCUUGAGGUCUCCCAGAUAGUAAGAUAGUAAGUCUCCCAAAUUUAAACUCUACUCUCAACUUACUGCCGAGUUUCCAGCUUUGGGCCUCACCCUGGCAUGCCUGAAUUACAUUACGGGUUAGGAAAGCAGAAAAAAAGUUAUUUUUUUUUUCACCCUCAGCUUGUCUGGUGGUUGAGGGAGAGUGGUGGUGUGGUUUGAUCAAUCCUGAACUUCAGCUACGGCUUUCCAGGUGGGCUCAGUGGUAAAGAACCCACCUGCCAGUACUUCCUGAUCUGUGGGUCGAGAAGAUCCUUUGGAGAAAGACAUGGCAACACACUGCAGUUUUCUUGCAUGGAAAAUCCCAUGGAUAGAGGAACCUGGCAGGCUAAAGUCCACGGGGUCACAAAGAGUUGGAUAUGAUUUAUCAACUAAACAGCAACUUAGGCUAAGGCAAAUUGGUGCUAAUUCUGGGGCAGGCAGGAGCAAGCAAUCAUCACAGCCUUCUAGAGACAUCCUUGGUAUAGCUGCCCAGGGCCCCCUUGCUGUUUUGAGGCCACUCCUCCCACUUCCCCAAAUUACCACUGCCUACUUGUGAGUAGCCAGCAGUGAGUCUGCAAACAAGAAUCCUGGAGGGGGCAUCCCCUGGUCCACCAGAAGACCUGCUAGCGGGCUCAACACUCGCCAAAACCAUGCUGGAAGGAUGAGGCCAGAGGCUCGGCCCUGUUCAGUGUCUAUUUGUCAUUAGUAAGAGGCCCUUCCUGUGUGGUGGGCCUGGGAUCCAGCACUGAAGGGCCUGGAGUAGAGCGUCCGGUCCCCUGGAGGCAGGAGGCUCAUAGGAGUUGGAUAAGACACACGGGCUUUUCAUGGUGGUGUCACUUGGCUGCCAGCAGGGUGGGCCACCUAGGACUACACCCCCACCCCACCCCCCGCCUGUCCAAAAUGUUGAACAGACUGGAGGGAAACAGGCAGGAGGCAGAGUGCAGCCACUCCGAGACAGCACCUUGAGCUGAACAGUCUCCCUCCCUCCCAGUUUCCUAAGGUUUUGGAGCAGUUGAUUUCCCAUGGAAACAAGCAGAAAUCUGUUUUAAUCAUCGGGCAUUUUUAGUUUCCUAAUUUGUAUGGGAACCUGGAGAUACUGACAUAUGGUACAUUCAUCGUCCUGGAAAGCUACAGCUGAAAGAAAAAUAGUUAAAGCCAGUCUUAAAACUGGAACGCUUCUUCAUAUGCCUUCAAAUGACUUUCCUUAAUCAGAGUCUGUCAACAGCGCUGCCAAAAGACUUGCUUCUGCUUCAGCUCAGCCCUUCUAGCAGGAUUUGCAUUUGAACCCUGGAUGUCUGCCGGCUGCAACCAGUGCACUUAGCGCGGCGGAGAGGAGCUACCCCACGUCCGAGGUCAGGGGCAGAAGCCUGGAGGACCCCAUGCCUGAGGGGCGGUGGCCAAGAGGAGUUACCCCACGUCCGAGGUCAGGGGCAGCGGCUGAGAGUGCCAGGCUGCGACAGCACAGGAAUGGCCGAGAGGAGCAACCCCAGUCCGACAUCAGGGGUGGCGGCCAGGAGGAGCUACUCCACGUCCAAGGAGCGGUGGCUGUGCGGGUGCAGGAGGGCCUAGAGGAGCUAUUCCACUUUCAAGGUCAGGAGGGGUGGCAGUGAGGAGAUACCCCUCGUCCAAGAUACCGAAACCCCCUCCAGGUGGAAGAAGUUACAAUUAACCGUGGUAUGCUGCCCACAAGCAUGUAGACCCCAGACCAAUUGAAACCUGAAGGUUGAUGAUACAGACUCCUGCUUACCUCACCACCAACACAUCAGAAGAGCAUCCACGAGCUGAUCACAGGCCCUCUUUGAAGCAUUACUAUAAAACUUCUCACUGUCCUUUCCAUGUGGGGGGACACAUAGUUUUCUGAGGCAGGCACCUGCUGUAUUCCCCUGUGCCUGGCAAAGUAAUAAAACUA